CUUGCUCUGUUGCCCAGGCUGGAGUUCAGUGAUGCGAUCUUGGCUCACUGCAACCUCCACUUCUCUGGUAUAAGUGAUUCUCCUGCCGCAGCCUCCAGCGACAGUGCCAGACUUCGUCUCAAAAAAAACCCAGAAAACAAAAAGACAAAAACCUUUCAGAAUACUUCCUGAAUGAUCUGCCAGAGCCUGUUUUACAGCUUUUUUUCUGGAGGCGGAGGGGACAUGGUCUUGCUCUGGAGUAGCUUGGAUUACAGGUAUGUGCCACGACACCUGGCUAAUUUUUGUAUUUUGAGUCGAGACGGGUUUUGCCAUGUUGGCCACGCUGGUCUCAAACUCCUAGGCUGAAGUGAUCGGCCCACCUCGGCCUUCCAAAGUGCUGGGAUUACAGGUGUGAGCCACAGCACCCAGCUGAAUAUACAUUUUUCUAAGGAAGAUAAACAACUGAGCAAGGGGACCUGAAAAGAUGCUGGACAUCAUUAAGUAAAUGCUAAACAAAAAGGCAAGGAAAUACCACUUCAAACCCACUAGGAUGGGUAGAAUGAAAAAGUGAGAUAAUAACACAUGUCAAGGAUAUGGAGAACUUGGAACCCUCAUACACUGCUGGUGAGAAUGGAAAAUAGAGCAGCCGCUUUGCUUUUUUGUUUGUUUUUUAAAUUUUUCUUUUUUAAGAGAUGGGGUUUUGCUCUGUAGCCCAGGCUGUCAAGGCUCACUGCACUCUCAAACUUCUGGAUUCAAGAAAUCCUCCCAUCUCAGCCUCCUGAGUAGCUGAGAACACAGGUGUGCACCACCAUGCCCAAUUAAUUUUUCUUUUUCUUUUAGAGAUGGGGUUUUGCUCUUUUGUCAGGGCUGGUCAUGAACUUUUGGGCUCAAGCUAUCCUCCUGCCUUGGCCUUCCAAAAUGCUGGGAUUACAGGCAUGAGCCACCGUGCCCUGCCAGGAGUUUCUUUUUUGAGGUAAUGAAAAUGUUCUAGGCCUGGCGCGG
rnacentral:lncRNA from 1 species